GGACACUGCAUGUCUCGGGCCAAAUUGAGCAAAAGCUCAUGGGAAAUUGGAUCCACUAGGUUGAGGAAGGCAGCGUUCUUGUACAGGAUGUCGUUGAGAGAUGUUCCUUCAAGACCGAGGUCCUGUCGAGAGAAAACGGAUUCCCAGACAUCUGGAAGCUCCUCCAAGCCCGCUGUUUUUCAUCUUUGAAGCAUAAGCACAGGGUGUUAAGAGCUUACGGGGCUGGGGUGAGUGAGGCGCCUUCAUGUUUGGAAAGCCUUUCGACUGGCUGGGCAUCCAUGUGACAACGUGCCAUUUCUAGCGACCGGAUUUAAAUGACUAGAAUAAUUUGAACAAACUAAGCAUCGCCUACCAGCUGCCAUGAAGGAUACUUUAAAUCAAAUGCAUAAAAAAAAAAUAAAGACGCAACUUGCUUGUGAAC